rnacentral:rRNA from 1 species
UACAGAGGUCCCAAGCGUUGUUCGGAUUCACUGGGCGUAAAGGGUGCGUAGGCGGGUCUUUAAGUCAGGGGGGAAAUCCUGGAGCUCAACUCCAGAACUGCCUUUGAUACUGAGGAUCUUGAGUUCGGGAGAGGUGAGUGGAACUGCGAGUGUAGAGGUGAAAUUCGUAGAUAUUCGCAAGAACACCAGUGGCGAGGGCGGCUCACUGGCCCGAUACUGACGCUGAGGCACGAAAGCGUGGGGAGCAAACAGG